GAUUUAUUAGUUACUAGAAUACUGUCUUUCUAAGCAAGACAAAAUUUAGAUUUUGUCAAUAUCGGUUUAUCAGUGAUGUGAUAUCCGAGGUGGCAAUUCAGCACUUUUCUAUGAUUGACAUUGGAGCAGGAGACCACUGCUGCUUGUCUUUAUCUAUGUUUAUAUCUGGUUACGUGCAUCACGUGUUUUUCGAUAACUUGAGAAUAUUAAAAAUCCAUAUUAAUCGAUGCGAAAAAUAAAUAUGAGUCAAAAUAUAAAAACCGUGCUUGUGCCUCAGUGUUAUGAUGUGUCUUCAAGACGGAAAUUACGGUAUAAUUAUGGCUUAAAACCCCGCAAACAUGAAAAAGUGAUACCGCUGUUCUGGACUUGAAGCAUUGAAGACGCUAGGGAUCACGUGAGAAAACCACACACAAAAAAUGUUCGCAUAAGAUACGGCAAAAAUGUAAAGGUAUGUUGAUGUUUAAAUUAAAUGCAUUUGAUUAUUUUAUUAUUUCGUGUUCUAUACUACAGGUAAUGUCGCUGUUGUGGAUUUGAAGCAUUGAAGAUCAUGGAUCACCAGAUCUCCAUAUUUAGUUAGAAAACCACACAUGAAAAAUUUUCGCAUAAGAGACAAGUAAGGUUGUCUGAACCUAAUUAUUCGUCUAUUAAUGUAAAACUAUUAUCUGUAUUUUUUUAUUUGUACCAGUUUAAUUUUGGUUGCUUUCUAUUUUGCGAUAAGCAUGUUUUCUUGGAUCGAAGGAAAUCAACAAAAGUAUAAUGAACGUGAUGUAUCAAUGCAAAUCGCUAUACCUAAUUGUAUUUCUACACAAUAGAAUAAUCUGUGGAUGAACGAAAAUACUCUUCUAUCAA